rnacentral:misc_RNA from 1 species
GGGGAUUGGAGAAACAUAUCAAGAAACUUUGUGAACUCCAAGACUCCUACUCAAGUGGCAAGCCAUGCUCAAAAGUACUUCAUGAGGCAGCUUUCAGGAGGGAAAGACAAGAGAAGGCCAAGCAUCCAUGACAUCACUACUGUCAAUCUCACAGAGGCCACAGCAUCAGAGAAUGAGAAGUUAUCCUCACUGGAUCAGCUUUCCAAGCUUCCUUCACUGCAGAAGUCACCCUG